rnacentral:misc_RNA from 1 species
AGCAGCCGCGGUAAUUCCAGCUCCAAUAGCGUAUAUUAAAGUUGUUGCAGUUAAAAAGCUCGUAGUUGAAUUUCGGGAUCAGUUGGUCGGUCGUGCCUCGGUACGUACUGGUCAAAUUGAUUCCUACCUUCUGACGAACCACGAUGUCAUUAAUUUGGUGUCGCGGGAAAUCAGGACUGUUACUUUGAAAAAAUUAGAGUGUUUAAAGCAGGCUCGCGCUUGAAUACAUUAGCAUGGAAUAAUGAAAUAGGACGUUUGAUUCUAUUUUGUUGGUUUCUAGGAUCGACGUAAUGAUUAAUAGGGAUAGUUGGGGGCAUUAGUAUUCAAUUGUCAGAGGUGAAAUUCUUGGAUUUAUUGAAGACUAACUACUGCGAAAGCAUUUGCCAAGGAUGUUUUCAUUAAUCAAGAACGAAAGUUAGGGGAUCGAAGACGAUCAGAUACCGUCGUAGUCUUAACCAUAAACUAUGCCGACUAGGGAUCGGAUGAUGUUAAUUUUUUAAUUGACUCAUUCGG